CAGUAGUCACGUAGUUUGAUCAUGGCUACGAGAACGAACGCUGGCGGCAUGCCUAACACAUGCAAGUCGAACGAAGGCUUCGGCCUUAGUGGCGCACGGGUGCGUAACGCGUGGAAUCUGCCCUUGGGUUCGGAAUAACUCAGAGAAAUUUGAGCUAAUACCGGAUGAUGACGUAAGUCCAAAGAUUUAUCGCCCAGGGAUGAGCCCGCGUAAGAUUAGGUAGUUGGUGGGGUAAAGGCCUACCAAGCCGACGAUCUGUAGCUGGUCUGAGAGGACGACCAGCCACACUGGGACUGAGACACGGCCCAGACUCCUACGGGAGGCAGCAGUGGGGAAUUUUGGACAAUGGGCGCAAGCCUGAUCCAGCAAUGCCGCGUGCAGGAUGAAGGCCUUCGGGUUGUAAACUGCUUUUGUACGGAACGAAACGGUGAGCUCUAAUACAGUUUGCUAAUGACGGUACCGUAAGAAUAAGCACCGGCUAACUACGUG
rnacentral:rRNA from 1 species